ACAUUUCAUUCAUUGUAUUAAAUAAGUUUUUUGAAACUUAGCAAAUGUCUCUUUGACUCUUAGAUUUUGAAGUUGAUGGGGAAACUGUCAGUGCUGGUCUCACGGAUCACAUGAUAGCACAACUUUUUGAGAGGUCUUUUAAGAAGCAAGUUAAAUUUAUCAAACUUAUCCAACAACUUAAAGAGAACCAGAGUGAAGAACUGUCUGAAAGUCUGACUACACCUUCAGCUUUGAGCCAAGAGCAAAGAAUUCCAGCCCCAUUUCCUCUUGUCUUCUCACUACCAAAAUUCCCAAAGGAUGUUCAGUUAAAAUUGGAUAACAAAGAACCAUGUCAUAAGAUCAGCACUUACCGGCAUAAAAUUGUACGAGUGCUGCACGAGACAAUGGCUCAGCACACACUAUAUCCUUCAAACAGUGACUAUGUUUGCGCAGUCAAGGCUCUUAUCUCCAAAUACCC
ensembl:lncRNA